rnacentral:rRNA from 1 species
AUUGAACGCUGGCGGCAGGCCUAACACAUGCAAGUCGAGCGGAUGAAGGGAGCUUGCUCCUGGAUUCAGCGGCGGACGGGUGAGUAAUGCCUAGGAAUCUGCCUGGUAGUGGGGGAUAACGUCCGGAAACGGGCGCUAAUACCGCAUACGUCCUGAGGGAGAAAGUGGGGGAUCUUCGGACCUCACGCUAUCAGAUGGGCCUAGGUCGGAUUAGCUGGUUGGUGGGGUAAAGGCCUACCAAGGCGACGAUCCGUAACUGGUCUGAGAGGAUGAUCAGUCACACUGGAACUGAGACACGGUCCAGACUCCUACGGGAGGCAGCAGUGGGGAAUAUUGGACAAUGGGCGAAAGCCUGAUCCAGCCAUGCCGCGUGUGUGAAGAAGGUCUUCGGAUUGUAAAGCACUUUAAGUUGGGAGGAAGGGCAGUAAGUUAAUACCUUGCUGUUUUGACGUUACCAACAGAAUAAGCACCGGCUAGCUUCGUG